rnacentral:rRNA from 1 species
UACGUAGGGGGCGAGCGUUAAUCGGAAUUACUGGGCGUAAAGCGUGCGCAGGCGGUGAUGUAAGACAGGUGUGAAAUCCCCGGGCUUAACCUGGGAACUGCAUUUGUGACUGCAUCGCUGGAGUGCGGCAGAGGGGGAUGGAAUUCCGCGUGUAGCAGUGAAAUGCGUAGAUAUGCGGAGGAACACCGAUGGCGAAAGCGGCUCACUGGCCCGAUAUUGACGCUCAUGUACGAAAGCGUGGGGAGCAAACAGG